GUGAAUCAUCGAAUCUUUGAACGCAUAUUGCGCUCGAGGCUUCGGCCGAGAGCAUGUCUGCCUCAGCGUCGGUCCAUCCCCUCACACCCUCCCUUUGUUUUACAAGUGGGCUGGGCUGUGGAUCUGGCCGUGUCGGCUGCCCAUUGUGGCCGAGUCGGCUGAAGCUCAGAGGCUUGAGCAAGCGCCCAUUCAACCGGGCAUCAACUAGGUGGGUGGCCUUCGGGCUGCGAAGCCGUUGAUGGCCGGGGGACUUGCUGGGGGCCUGCAGGAACACCGCCCCCCGACAGGAGGGCUGGUGGC
rnacentral:misc_RNA from 1 species